CCUACCUUUUCCAACUGACGAAUCUAUUUCCUUGACCAGAUCCGCUCUGUAGCUCUUCUCCUGCCUUUGCAAUUUGCAUGCUCUUCUGCUUCUACUUCUCUAAAUCAUGGUGGGCACUGUCCAUGGAGGUUCAGAUGAACCAAUCUACUUUGAGCAGUGCAUGUGACAAUAACAGCUCUCCCCUUUUUCUUUACAUGUUUUAUAAUCUGCAUAUUUUGUUGUAAUGGCUGCAGUAAGGCAGCAACAGAGUUGAAUCGCUCAAUAUAUGCUACCAUAGGGAGUUGAUGCGAGGGAGUUGGAGGAAUGACAGAUUUUGUAUGCUCCUCACCCGGGUUGAACGGCUGCAUCCACCUGUUGUUAUGGUAGUGGAAUCCCUCCAAUUACAUCAAGAAAUAUAGUUAUUGGUUUAUCUGAUGGGGAUCCUAAUUGUAGCACCCUAGGCUGGACUUCUCAAGGGUGAACAUACUGAUGGUUGGUAACCAACCUAAUGAUUGAUGGUGUUAUCAUGAGGAGGCAAUGGACCAGCGGCGGCGUGAUUCAAAAGUAAGUUCAGAAUUCAGAUAGCCUCUGAUAUUUGAUUCUUCUUUUGAAUCUAAAAUACCAGUCUUUGUGUUGUAUCCAAUCUACUGGAUUAGAAAUAGUUAGAAAACUAUCACAUGAUUUUGAUUGCACACUGUCCAAUGGACGUAACAAGAUUAGGUACUUAGGUUGGUUAAUACAACUCAUUCUGCCAUUUUAUCGACAAUAACCAUUAAUUAUGAUUCAUUUCGAUCCUGUUUAUAUACAGGAAGCUUAUGCUGUAUCUCUUUCAGCAAAUGUAUUUCCCUCAAUUAUCUCUUUCAGAAGAAAACAAGAAUCUAUAAUCCUCAUGAUUUUCAAGUCGUGUUUAGAGGCACAAAUUAUACCAGAACGGCCUUGCAAGGAAAUCAUGUUUGCCAAACUGCACUGCAAGAUGUUGGAAACCCUGUCAAAGCUUGAAUUUGAAACCUUUGUUGAGCUCACCCAAGUAAAUUUACACAGGGAGGGGAGUGCAAUUAAUCAGAAGCAGAGCAUAUCAUUCCAACAUCACAAUGAAUCUACAGCAGAAGGAGAGCAAAUUUUUGAGAAUGCAUCUUUUCCCCAUUUUAUUAGUUAUUCUAUACCUAGCAGUUUACUUUGCAAGUGUGCUUUCAAGCAGCUGGUUCAACUUCUAGAAGGAUAGACAUGCAAUAUUUUAGGUAAUGUAGAUCAAAAUAUAACUGCACAUCGCACGAGCAAGGUGCACAUGGAUAUUCAACGGGUGUGCCUCACACUAGAGGCGGAGGCAGGAGUGCCCAAGCCACGACACCGAAAACCAUGAACUCCAACUACAAGCUGCUCAAAAGGCAUAAAUGGCAAUCCAUACAUAAAUACUAGCUAGAUAGAACUUCAGUUCAGUUUACAUCACUGAAUCUCCGUGCACUGCAGCUGCUACUGGUAUGUAAUCCGCACUCUAACUUGACCAUGGUGGCAUUCUCCAUGGUUAGCACUGCAGAUUAUUUUUUCUUCAAACUGGUCACGGUAAAAUGUAACAUUGUCACGGAAGGCCAUGGUACGACGAACACCGUCAUCAUGAUCACAAUGGAUUGGAACAUGCAGGUCGAACUUGAGCAUCAGGAGCGGCUCCAAGUAUACAGGAACAACUGCACACCUCCGUAACAGUGGAAGUUCACCAUCAACGACCUCCGCUUUGUUCUCCUCUCCACAAGAAAAGAGCAAGACACUCCGGCCGUUGUAGAGCUGAUGGUGCGUGGUGAUUUCACCAUAGACAUGGUAGACGGCGCCCGUCCUCGUGGCAUCAUCGCAAGAUAGGAAAUCAAGGUUGACAUGCACAUUGGCCUGUAUGGCCGAGUGCGUUGCCAUGAAUGUCAAUUCUAUUUUGCGGUUGUGUGUAACCGAGAUGACGCGGGUCAUGACAUUGUUGCAAACGUAUGGGUCGACCGUGAAGGAGAAGGAAUGACAAGCAUCAUGAUCUAUUGUGC